ACUAUAUUAUCAUAUUAUGUGUUAUCUCCUUUAGGAAUGCAUAGGGUACUUAGCUGUAGAAGGUGAGGUUGUGUUUCACAAACAUCCAAAAAUCCUAAUAGGUUUCAUCUAUAAGAAAAGAAUGUAAUCCAAAUUUCAAUUCAAAAGUACUAAAAAUUACUCUUUUUAGUAGCCUCAAUCACACAUAAACCUCAAUUACCUUAUUACUUUCAUAUUUAAGCAAUCUAGAUU
rnacentral:lncRNA from 1 species